AGACACUGCAGAGAAUUGCACCAUCCGUACUUUCUUACUCCCACAGAAGAGCCAUCACAGACUCCAAAAGCCCUCGGGCUGCAGGAACAGUAGCACUCAAUUAAAUUGGAAGUUCAGCUCAGGUACCCUCUGCCUGCAGGCCCAGGAGCUCCCUGUCAGCUCAGUCCUUGCCUGAGUUAAGCUGUAGCUUUUGGGCCGGAAUAACAAGUAUGGCUUUGCUUCCUUUAAAGCAAACAAAAGCAAGAAGAAGAAGACCAAUUACUACAGUGCAAGGAGUGAAAACAUGAGAAAGUCCAUCAUUAAUAAGAAUAAUUUUUCAGAA